AACGUAGGAGACGAACGUUAUCCAGAGUUACUGGGCGUAAAGGGCGUGCAGGCGGCUUGAUAAGUUCGGCGUGAAAUUUCCCGGCUUAACCGGGGGAUGUCGUCGGAGACUGUCGAGCUAGAGGGUGAUAGAGGCGUGUGGAAUUCCGGGUGUAGUGGUGAAAUGCGUAGAGAUCCGGAGGAACACCAGUGGCGAAGGCGACACGCUGGGUCAUACCUGACGCUAAAACGCGACAGCAUGGGGAGCGAACGGG
rnacentral:rRNA from 1 species